UGCUGCCGGCUGCCUCUGCCAACUUUCCACAGCUAGAGCCCCUCCCCCUGACCGCAGGUCGGAGACAGCUUGGGGUGGGGGAAGACCUUCCUUCUCUUCCCUUCCCCAGGCUGGGGUUGGGGUGUGGGAUUGAGUGCCAUCCGUCCCCGUUGGAAGGCUGGGGUGCGGGGAGUCGCGGCUGGAGGACGCGGCUGGCUGGCUGGCGGGUGCUGCCGUCUUUCUCUGCACCGCUUACCCUGGGACUGGCGUCUGGGCUAGUUGGGGGAAGGGAUGUCCGGCAUCAGGGACACGAUGGUCAUAACGGUUUGCGUCUUGUUUUCUUCUCAAAGCCGUGACACCCCUUCCUUUCGGGCUGGAAACUCCUGACCUGAUCCCCAACACCCAGCCCUGACCCCAGCCAGGCUGGAUGCCUCACCACCUCCUUCCUCCCGCACAGCCAAAGUGAGACCCAGGAGUGGGCUGGGUCCUGGGGUGUAGUCCUCCCUGGCUGGGCGACUCUGGCAUGCUCACCUCCCCUCUCUAGGCUUGUUUCUGACUUCGGGAAAUGAAUUCUAUAGGGUUUUGUAUCAUCUUUAAAGAGGACAAUGGAUAUGUUGGUCACUAGAGUCUGACAAGCCUGGGCUGGAAUCCUGGCAACUUCGCAUAUAGCAGCUGUAUGAUCUUGGUGGCGUCCGUGGAACCCAUAAGGCAACUCAGCGACCCGCCAACUCUCAGAGGGGCGGGAGGCUUCAGAGCACGGCCAGAUUGUGGCAGGACUUGGAGCGGGC